rnacentral:rRNA from 1 species
AUCGAUUUCUUCGGAUUGAAAUUUUAGUGACUGAGUGGCGGACGGGUGAGUAACGCGUGGGUAACCUGCCUCACACAGGGGGAUAACAGUUGGAAACGACUGCUAAUACCGCAUAAGCGCACAGGAUCGCAUGAUCCGGUGUGAAAAACUCCGGUGGUAUGAGAUGGACCCGCGUCUGAUUAGCCAGUUGGCGGGGUAACGGCCCACCAAGGCGACGAUCAGUAGCCGACCUGAGAGGGUGACCGGCCACAUUGGAACUGAGAGACGGUCCAAACUCC